CCAUAUCAAACCCCCAAAAUCAAAAAUUCAGAAAUCUCUCUCUCUCCUCUUUUCCUCCCCUUGCGGCACACCCCACACCCCUCUCCUCUCUUCGUUCGUCCUUGCUUGCGGCGCAAGACACCCGUGCGCCAGCCUAGCUCGUCGCCCUCGCUCGUCCUACGCAUUGAGUGUUGUGUGUGCGCGCGCUGCUGCUUGCCCCGCUCGUGCGCUGUGCCCCGUGUGUGCGCUGAUGUGCCCCGUGUGUGCGAGGCUGUGCCCCUGUUGUGUGUUGUGCGUUGCUCGCCUGCCCUCCCCCUCGCGCGCGCGAGCCUUGCUGGAGUUGAUUUCUAGUGAGUCGUGAUUCGCACAGUGGCCCCCGUACUUAGGUAUUCCAGCAUGCCUCGUCAUACUCGGAGGAAGCUUGCCGAAUGUUUGGCAGUUCGAGCUGCUAUGGAGGAUGCUUCGGAUGACGAAGCGGCGGUAACGAAUGUGCUGGAGCCAGGCAUGGUAUCGCGGAAAGUCCCUACCUUUGACAGCAAUGGUUGGCGGCCUUCGGAUCUUGUAUUUCUGCCAGAGUUUCAUCUGUCCCAGCGGCCACGCGCUGGUUUUGUGAGUCCAUUUGUCUCCCUUGGGAGAAUUUUGUAGAUAGGAGAGGCAGUCAUGAUGGCCUUCUGAAGAGGCUUGCUCCACCUGUACGCUUCGUACUGCCGGAGGAGGAGAUCGACCCCGAGGAUAUUCCCUAUGCUGACAGGGUUAUCCGCUAUGUUGACUCGUACAGAGAGCAGGUGGAGGUUACCGUUCAUGUGGCUUCUCCUCCACAUCGGAGGUCGUACGAUGCUGUACCGGAGCAUUAUGCGGUUGCGCCUCGGGCGAGAGUGCGUCGCUGGAUGCUUGUUAUUGAUUCCCUGAAGAGGCAUUGUGUCAAGCUGACCCAGAAGCUUACUGGCCGGGACAGAGAGGAGCGUCGUCGAGGUCGCAGAGAUUCUGUGGAGAGGGAGCCCCCGGUGGGGAUUUGGAGAGGGCAAGACGGACCGAGCUUAAGUCUGGGCCUCGGUUCUGGUACUAGUACUUAUUAGAGGCAUUAUGAUGUUGAUAGGGGGGUUGUUCCCUUUACAUUCGUUGAGCCUACCAGGCAUUCUGUUGGAGGUCCGGGCAGUUCGAUGCCUUUUAUGUCUCCCCCUGGUACUUAUUUCGGAGUGAGUAGCUCCCAGCCUUGGAAUGCAGAUUCUUGGGCUUAUUGACAUAAGAUGGAGCGGAUGCGUCAGGCCCAAUCUUUUGAGAUGCAGCGCCAGUUCAUGGCUUUCCCGCAGCCUUAUCAGUAUCCUUCCCCUCAGCAGGGAACUUAUCGUCCUCCCGGUACCCUUCGUAUUUCGGAGCAGGAGCCUGCUACCCCUGAGACGGAGCUGGACCAGGAUCUGGAGCGUUAUAGGAGCCGAAACAGGAACAAGGAACCUGUGGUUGAUAUUACGGCUGAUGAUGAUUCGGACUGAUCCUGCAUGGUAGCGAGUUCCAGCUUGCCUUGAUUGAAGUUUUGUAUGGUUUUUUUUUGUAUGGAUUUUGUAGCUUGUAUUUGGAACUUGAAUUUUGUAUGGUUUUGUAUUUGAAUUUUGUAAAGUUUGAAACUUUUGGAUUUUGUAUGGUCGAAAAUUUGGAUUUUGUAUGGUUUGA